rnacentral:lncRNA from 1 species
CCUGGGGUUGACUGAGAGCCAGGCUCAGCUGGCAGGACAAGGGACAAGAGACCAGGGCAAGCUGAACCGGAGAAGAGAGAACGUGGCAGGGGAGGGUGGUGUCGGGGUGGAGAUGCCUCCAGACCACCCCACUCACAGGAAGCUUCUGAUCACUGACUCACCAUGUGACUGGCUCUUCCUGUGCUUUAGUUUCCCCUUCUGUAAGAUGAGAAGCACUGCAGGGGGCUCUGGGGAGGAAAAACCAAGAAGAAUAGGCCUCCAACACCGGCAGUGCAUAAGUUCUUCUGUGGUUUCCAGGGCAACGCUUCUGGGUUGGAAUGAAAAAACAAAAACAAUGUAAAGUGAGCAGAGCCCUUGUCUACUCUGCUAGGAGAACGCAGUCUAAAUCAGGGUUUUUCUCUUCCAGGGGAAGGUCAGUAAAGAAACGAUUUCCCGGAGAAAACUCCAAGUCUCAGUCUCCCUAGUAUGUCAUUGUCAUGCAGAAGUUGAAUCAGGCACAACCUGUUGGCUGGCGGUAGGGAAAGAAAUUCGACAGGAAUAUUAGCUCUUCCAUUCAGAAUAGCAUUUAGUGCCCCCAGAGCUCAGACAAGCCAUGAGCGCAGGGGACAAAAGCCAGCCCAUGCUACACAAAGAAGCCCACAUGUGAGCCAGGCUCUGCAAAUGCUGGAUGAGGACAGCCCAGUAACACAACAGAGAGAGGGAGGCCAUAAGCCUCCAGUCACAGAUGCCAGGUGGAUUCCUCUUCACACACCCAGGACUUUCCCCAGACUUCUCCCUAGUGGAGUCCCAACAAACGCUUCUGUUUAAUUCACUCCCUUUUCUGAAAGGAUGCCCUGGCUUCUGGUUGACAUGAAUACAAAGACAAGCAACCCAUACAUACCAAGUUCAGGCCCUUUGUGACCUUGGCUCACCUUGGGCUGCCCUCCGCCCACCCCCUUGACCUUGCACUUGCUCUGUGGCUGCUGCAUUCCGGGCCUCUGGGUACACGUCCUCCUGUCUGGACCAACCAAGAUUAUCUAAGUAGACUCUCUGUGCUCUGUCCUGGUUUUCUAUAUUAUUGUAUCUUAUUACCAAAAGAUUUGUUAGGUGAAUUGAAUGUUGCUUGGCUUACUGAGGGCUUUACUAUUGAUUGGUACUAUGCUCAUUUCCUUAUAAAUAUUUCCUCAGUUAACCCUUGUAAUAAAGUAAGUUCAACUAUGAUUCCUAUUGUACAGAAGAGGAAACUGAAACUUAAGAGAAGCCAAAUGAAUUGGCACAGGAAACACAACUAGUGACAGUGACAAACUUAGAAAUCAGAAAGUCUGAUUAUAGAAUCUAUCCUUAAGCAUAUUUGGCUGAUUUUAAAUACUUCCUUUUGGAUGUGUCUGUACAAAGAGUUGGCAAAU